rnacentral:ncRNA from 1 species
GCCGGGAAUGCCGAAAACCGGGAUUUAAAAGAGUAGGCA